AGAGCCCCCCGCGGCGCUCACGUGACCGGGGCGGGCGGAAGAUGGCGGAGCCGCCCGGGGCCGCGGCCGAGGACUCGUGGGGCAAGGUGGACGCCGCCUACGGUGACAACGGCCUGGACUCGGCGCUGCUCGGGGACUGCGCCCGCAAGGGGAGCGUCGUGUCCCGCGCCAACAGCAUCGGCUCCACCAGCGCCUCGUCCGUCCCCAACACGG